UUGAAUGAACUUAGAGUCGGUUGUCGCUGGCUGUCUUUUGCAGCAUGUGCACGCCUUCUCUUUUCAUCCACACACACCCCUGUGCACUUGUGAGACUGGAGGCCGUAAAAAAAGCCUUCAGUCUGCUAAAUUCAUAUACAAACUCAUUUAAUUGAACUGAAUGUACUUGAUGUAACGCAUCAUUGAAC
rnacentral:misc_RNA from 1 species